CGCCCCUCCUCGUUGGCUCGGGCGGCCGCCGCCGCCUCUCGGCAUCCGGCGUGGAACGGCGGUGUUGGCUGCGCUGGGUGGACGCUCUGGCAGCCGGUGAGGGAACCGCUCGAUGGAAUUUCUGAAGCGAAACGAACUACCUGAGUGCCUCGAAUUGGAAACGAUGGGUUUCACUGAGCUGCGAGUCGUGCGCGCGCAGUGAUGGGCGGCUGCGGCGACCCUUCCCUCAAGCAGUGGGUGGUGAACGAUAAACGAUAGUUGAGCCGCACGAAGAGAGACGGCGUCGCAUCUGCGCGGUGUUUCAUUUUGAUCUGGGUUUGUUCAAACGCUUUUUUUUUCUCUCUUUUUCCUUCUCAAGCCUCGGGAAUGAGAGAAGAAAUGCUUUAAGAAUAACGGAAUACAUUGGUACGGCCACACUGAAAACGUUACCCACUUAAGGCAGGUGCGAAACCGCUCUGCUCGUAGCCCGGGGGAAACAGCGUGGGGCACGAGGGCGUACGGACAGUGCCUGUCUUUCCACAUCGAGUUCUCUGUAGCGCCGGCUCCGAAGCACACGCGCCUUUGUGUCUUCUUAACCGAGUGUGCACGUGGUCGCGCUGCAUCCGCCAGUUUCCAGCGGCGUCUCCACGCAGCUCUGCCCUAACAAUGGCCCAGCUCCUGCCAAGCGUGAUGUAUGCCGGCUGGCUGCUGGGCCGCUUCUUUCCUCGGGUAGAGGCGAGGAGAACAGCAGCUGAGCUGGAGCUGAGCCCCUCUCUCGCGUGGCCGUGGGAAUGGGAGCUUAUAGAGAGCCCCCCGAGCAAACGCUGAGCGCCGUGGGGCUGCUCCGUGCCCUCGCCAAGUACAGGCAGUGUGCAGGGAGGGUUUCGGGCACCAAAGCAUCCAAACCCUUACUGGUGGAGCUGGGAGCUGUACUCCUUUCCUGGCUUUCCCGCUCUCUUUGGGUGGUGAAUGACGACCUGUAAGUGCUCUUAUCUGAAGCGUCCGUAGGUCUUGUAGGCAGUAUCCAGAAGGGCAGAGGAAGUUGUUUUCUUCAUAGUAAGUUAAUUCUGUUGAUUCUGCGUGUAGCUUCCCUCUCUACUGCAGUUAAAACUCAUUCGUUCUACCUAAAAACCUUUUGUUCCUUUAAGAAAAAGUGUCAGGGUGCCUGGCACAUCCCAUGGCAACUCAUCCCCGCUUCCCCACCGUGGCACGGGUGGGGAGCACACAUGGGGGAGGGUGGUGUGGGCAGCGCCAUCCAGGCCUCACGCUGUGCAUGUCAGAUGUCAGCAGGAGCCUCAGCCUGAGGCUCCCCACUCAGACGCCUUUUAGUGGCUGAGAGGGAGCCGUGAGCAGCUGCUGCCAUGCAUGUUUAAAGUAAUCGAUACUGCUUUGGGGUAGAGAGCUUCCCUCCUUCCUCUGAGCACAUCAGUGUGAUUUACGAUCAACAAAACCAUGCUCCCCGUGUCUCCUUUUCUAGAUGGCUGACACGUGAUGUCAGGCUCUCUGCUGCUGUGAGGUAUGGGAGAAAGACCAUAGGUCAUUCAUUCCGUGAGGGCUUACCUAUCAGCAGGAGGUGCUGGCAGAACUGAUCGUUGAGCCACAGAAUAUCCUGAGCUGGAAGGCAACUGUAAGGGUCAUCAGCUGUAAGUCCUAUGAAAUGUGUAGGAAUGAUUUCCAAUCCUUACAUUAGUUUUACACUGUGGUCAAGCCAACUGUUGAGUAAGGGUCACCAGAUGUUCAGUUUUCAGCACUUCGACUGAGGAUGUAAUGGUUUCCUAAUCUUUCUCGUUGUUGCAUUUCUGAUUGCUGGUCAAUGCUGAGCUCUGAAUGAAACAACAACAACAAAAGGAACAUCCCUACUUAAAAAAAUAAAACAAAGGAAAGAGUCGAGUAACAUUUAAUUGUCAUGAAAUCGUUUAUAAAGAGUGAGAUGUCAGCCUUAACGAAGCAGCUCUGUGCUUGGUAUUUUAUCAGCCUUCUUCAGCACCGCUGCGAGGACAGAGCUGAACAAUGAGCUGUUCUGUCCUCUGGUGCCAGUGCAGCAGCUGAUGUUUGCAGUAGCUGCUUGUGAUAUGGUGCUGCACGGGAACCCCUCUGUGCACACAUGCUCAAGGCAUCGUGCUGGCGUUCACACAGCUGCAACCAAAGCAGCCCCAGUGUUGCUAAUGUAGAAAGCCGUGGCUGCUCCCUGUGUGGUUUAUGGGGUCUCAAAUCAGCACAGAAGAGAGCAAACUGUGGUAAUUCUGAGUAUUUCAACUUUUUCUUUUCUUUUCUUUUCUUUUCUUUUCUUUUCUUUUCUUUUCUUUUCUUUUCUUUUCUUUUCUUUUCUUUUCUUUUCUUUUCUUUUCUUUUCUUUUCUUUUCUUUUCUUUUCUUUUCUUUUCUUUUCUUUUCUUUUCUUGAACACUGCCUUGAUUGAACAGGUCACAUCUGUCAGUGAGGUACCAACAGCUCUCCAGAAACAUGGCAAAAUAAACUCCGGUCCGCUGGCUGACACCUGGCUUUGGCACAGCUCUCACUGCACGCGGGCUGAUCUACUUAAUGCGACUGCUCCCUUAACCAUGGCAUUCAGCAUGCGCUUGGUAGUGUGAGCUGGAGAUCUUUGUUCACCAGGUUUGCUCUGACUCGUACAACUGGGGAGACUUUCUGCCAGUGGCUGAGUCAAUGCAAAUGAGGUGUUUUGUUAUAAAUCUCCUGAUCAUACACAGCAGGACCGAAUGCUUUGCUCAUACUGCACUGACCACCUGCAGAGUUUGUAUUCCUGUGCAUUCCCAAUUUUAUCUUUUUCCUUAAACCAUUGCUAGUUAGAAGCACAUGGAUACAGAGGAGGUGGUGUUAGUGGUCAUACAACUGCCUAUUUCCAUUGCCUUUUAGGUGGGGUCAUAUAAAAAGAUGGAUUUCACCCCUCCAGAUGCUGUUCCUAGAGUACCUGCUCUAAUAGUUUCCAGGGUAAACAGUAAGUUGUAUGAGUAAUGCUCUCAGCGUUGCCUGGGCAUUGCUUGACAGCCACAGGGUUCAGCUGUGCUCAAGGUAAAGCUGAGUGGUUCACUAGCGCUCCAUUCUUUUUCACUACAAUAUAGAACAUACUUUAUUUAUGAGAUCAUAUCUUAAGGUCUUGGGUGUUUAUGUAUCAUUCAUAGCCUUGAAAUUUAUCUUCAGUUAAUAUAACAACAAAGAUAAUAAAAUAACCUUUGUUUUGAUUCUCUGAAUGAUUCACAUCCCCCCUUCCUGGCUGUUUUGUUCAAAAAUAAAGAGGUGGGAAGAGAGAAUAUUCCAAGUACAAAGGCAGAGGAUGAAAGCAUCAUUCUGUUUCUGUUCCUCCUACAUAAUAUUGCCAUAGUAACAGGGAGAUGAAUGUGGCUGUUCAUCACUGGAAGCGGAGGUACAGCAGACACUAUUCUUAUUCAAGGGAAUAUUAGUAAAAUACAGAUUUUUAGCAUGUCAAUAAUGAAUUAGGAAAAAACGUUCCGCUCUCCAUAGCAGACUCUGAACACUAAUAAUAAAGUGCCACUUUGAAAGAAGAGAGGGCAAUUAAGGCAUUUAGCAAACAUUUAUAGUGCUGUAAAUCAGAGCAUUUUAUCUUCCACACAAAGCUGUGCUGAGUUGCGGAGUGCAGUCACAGAUAAUAUAUUCUGACAUCAAACCUCCAUGAGACCGGCAGCUUGCUCUCCUCUGUCUGAUGUAUUUCUGUCACGGCAGUUGGUUGUGGUUGUUGCCAAACGUUUGUGCUGCAGCACUGACUGGUUGUGCUAGACUGGAGCACGAGCGGCUUAUUAUUUCCUGGAGGCCUGAAGUGCUUCAGCUGAGGACUGAAGGGUGGAGCAGAGCUUCAUUAGCAGCCCCAGCUGCCACCUGGGAUGGGGAGUGUGAAAUGGCAGCAGGAACCGCAGUGCUCUGCCAGCUUCCCUCGGCUCCGCUUUGGAUUAAAGCAACCAGAACUGCAGGUCAUUUGAAUCAUAGAUACAAAAAAUCUAACUGUUGAUAUAAGGAGAUCAGAACUGCGUGUAUUUCAUGUUGUGCUUUGAAGAAGUAACGUCCUUGCAAAAACCAAAGAGCUCAGAGGAUUUCCUCUGUCAUUUUCCUACUACCAGCCGUCAUGCGUUGCAUUCUCUUCCAAAAGAGAAGGUGAAAAGGAGCGAGACAAAGAAGAAAGGGAUCACAGUAUCUCAAUUUUAUUUUCUUUCCUGAAAAGUAUUCUCUUUGGACAGACAGUAAUUGUAGUUUCUAAUGACACAAACUUGAAGGGAAACAGAAGAAGACUACAAACAGGUUUAUGGGCCUAUCAGCGGGAAUAUGUGGCUACAAAUUGCUGAGUAAAUGAAACAGCCUGUUGUUUCCUAAGACUGAGAUUGUGAGUGUUAUGCCAAAGUAUUUGAGGAGGAGCUAGAGCACCAGGCGGUGUAAAGAAUACCUGCUGAGCCCUAAUUGGUGCCCACUGUUGUUAAUGGCUUCCUGUGGCUGAGUGUUUACUUGUCAUUUGUUUUGUGCUUUGUUUCCCAGCUACUGGAAGGAAUAAAAAUACUGACCAAAACUUUAUUUUGCUUUUAAGUGUAUCCCUGGACAUCAAGUGCUGCACUGCAAAUUGUCUCACGAUGCUAAGUACCUCAAGUCCAUUCCUCAGACCUGUAAUUAUCUGGUGCGCCUCAAAAGUUACAUUGCAUUGGAUGCUGGUUUUAAAUUUUGAAAAUUAUCUGAUUUAUUACAGUCUGUAUUAUAUGAUUUUAAAAAUUGUGUUAUGUGAAUGCCUGGGGAGUUUGUCUACAACAAGGCUUUUGUAUGGUUGGACAAACAAACAAAAAAACAAAACACCACCUUAGACAAAAUCAGACUUUUCUUAAACAUCCGUUCUCCAAAAAUAUUCAUUUCUCCCAUAAACCUCAGCUAUUAUGGGAUACAUGUGAAUAGUCUGUGAGAGACGACAAAGGAUGGAACCUUGUGUGCUGAAGGCUUAACGAAGAAGUUCCCACCUGUGAUGCAAAUCUUGGAUUUAGAGAUAUUUUUUUCUGUCCUAUUCCAAAGGGACAUAAGAAACAAACAAACAUACAAAAUGAACCACUAUCAUGCUGUCCAGGUUGAUGUUUCAGAUCCUUGCUUGCUCUGUUGUUGUCUCCUGGCAAGACUGCCUGCUAGUGCCAGCUAUGGUGUGAACACCUCCCUGCUGGGAACAGGAGUGAAACUGCCAUUUUUAAUUGGGACACUGAAUAAUUUGUGGUGAAUAGCCAUGUAUGCUCAUUACCGAUCAAGGAAGAAUUAGAACCAAUGAAAACUUUCUAAUCCCAUAAUCUUGACUCAUCUAUUUAUAUCGCAUUGUACUUUUAUUUUAUUUUACUUUGUUUUGUUUUAUUAUUUUUAGCUGGUCAAGGGGAAGGUUUAACUUCAGUAAACCUAAAAAGCAAUGUGGAUUUCUGAGGAAAAAAUACCAGUGUCUUGAUUCAACAACUAAUUCUUACUCUGCAUGUUUAUUUUCAAAGAACUCUUAAUAUCUGUGCCCUGUUCAGCUUUAUGUAGGGAAACAUAAUAUAACAGUGAAGAACUGAAUCGGUUUGAUAGUGUUGAGAUUAUGUUUGAAAGCAACCUCUUUAGUAUGUUAGAUUUCAGCCACUCUUUGAGAUGCUCUCUCAGACAAAGCAGAUAAUGCAGGAGCAGGUUUCAGUGAAAUAGAGAACAUUCUUGCAUUGUUGAUUACUAAAUAAUAAUCAAGUGUUUUUGGGUUUUGAUUCUCUCUCUUGUUCUCUUAGACUAUUAUUGGAUUGUGGAAUGAACUAUAUAUUUGUGGGAUCUUAAAGAAUCAUCAGGAAUUUGAAGACUUUUGGAUGCUGAUUCCAAAGGGCUGCCACACUUCACAGCUUAAAGAUAAACUUGGGGAUAUAAAAUGAAAAAGAUGGAGGUCGUGAAUGUUUGUUCAUAACUGAAUGUUUAGGGAGUUUAGAUUUAAAAACAAAACAAAAGGUUUCAAAAACUGGCAGCAACGUGACAGCAAGAAAAAAAAAGGUGAUGUUCAUGAUUGACUCGGCUAUAGUAUUGAGGUGAUUAUUCAAGUACAGUAGUCUUUGUUGGGUUAGGAUGAGAAUUACUGGGACUUUUGGUUGUGAUAAUUUUCAUAAAGCUCACUCAUUUUGAUCCUCUCUAAAGUCAUUGAAAUAUGUAGAUAGAGUUAUUAUUCUGUUAUCUUGCUCCUUUCUUAAGCAUUCCCAUUUUUUUUUACACAUUUAUGUGGUUUUGUAUCCUACUCUUUGCCAUAAUCCUGUGAAUGUGUACUUGGCCCACUGUAGCUACCUCACUAAUCUCAUCUUGCUGGUAGAAUCAGGAUUACUGUGAAUGAAAGAAAAAGUGUAAAGUUGAUCAAAACUCAUCCCUUGACUUAUGGAGAGUAGUCUAGAUGUCAGCAGAUACAGAGCAUAGAUUGCUCUGCACUUGCACUCUGUACUUACCACAAAAUAUCUUUGUCUUACACAAAUCUGUGACUACUGUAAUAUUACAGAAGACAGGUACUGUGAGGCAAUCUGUUCUGGCAUGUUGCAUUUGACCCUUGCUUUUUUGCGACUUCCCAAGUGUGAGAAUGAGAAUCAACACUCUUAUCUUUUACUUUGAGGGCUUGAGAUGAUCUAUUUGUUUUACUCUUAAUUUGAUAUUGAAAUCCCAUCCACUGUCAUACUGCAGGAAUAACGCUGUGUCUAAUAGUGGGAAGGGACUGUAGAGAAUUAGAGGGGAACAGCACUAAUUAUUUGUACAGAAUUUUCAGGCUAGAAAAAUUCUGAGUCAAAUACAGGAACCUGCUGCUACUGUCAGGAGGAAACGAGAGAGAUAAAAAGAAGAGCCUUGGUGAAGAUAUGCAAGUUUUUGAUGUUCCAUGCACAACUAAGUGGUAUUCAGGCAGGGGGAGGGUUUGAGGAUAUGUAAAUAGAAGAAGGAGACAGGGAGGGUAUACAUGCUUAGAAGUAGCUUUAAUGGUGUUAGCCACAACUUUCUUAGUAGAGCACCUUCCCUUCCAGCUCAUUGUUGCUGCGUGUCCCUUGUGAAAGUGCUAUAGACAGAAGGUACAAAAAAUCUUUUUAAAGGACAGCAGGACUGAAGAAUGCAUGAAUGAAGAUACUCAAUAGCACUACCUUUCCUAAUAAUAUUAAUUGAAUAAAUUGACUCUGCUGUUUGGAUAGAAAACACUUUUCAAAUGAGCUGUCGAUGAAAAUUGUUGGGCUGAAACAGCAGCAGAAUAUGAAGAAAAGCAAAAAUACCUCCCAUUUUUACCUCAGCCCCCUUCUCACCUCCUCCCCCAAGGUCCACUUGCUUCCCCUUGUUGUGUACAGUUCACCAGCUGUGCCCUGUGAGAUGAGCUUGGGCGGGCUACUUUCUUCACACCUCUGUGUGAUGAACACAGCACUUUCCCAAUCUGCUGGACUUAGCGGUAUUUCUUGGGCCAGACUGUCAGGUUGCUGAGGAUAACUGAGGGUUUAAUUUGCAGUUUGCAUUCUUUUCCUAAGUACUGCAUGCUCUGGAGAGAAGUCAAAGUGGUUGCAUGAUCGUGAACUCAACGGUUCCAUCCAUCUCUCCUUUAAUUUAGGAAAGUCAGUUCUGUCCCAGAGGUAUUUCACAUGUUGGACACACUAAGCUCAUUUAUAUUGCGAAGGACAAAAAUAAAAUGCUGUUACUAAAGGAAUGAAAAGUCUGGUGAGCUUCAGUUUCUUUCUGCCAGAUUAAAUAUUCUAAUUGUUUAAAAUUGCACAUAGAUACACAAGUGGUCAGUUUGUGUCUGAAUUUACCUGUCUUAUGCAUAUGAUUUAUACCAUAAAUGCAGCAAUUUAUACAGCAAAUUAGGUAAACAGUAUCAUGCUGAUAUUUUCUAUUUAAUAUAUUUAAAAAUUUAGAGCCUGUUUACCAAAUGAUAAUGUAUACAAUGAAGCAGUUUGAAAGACAAAAGCAGUUGCACACUUUGGUUUUUGAAUUAUAGGAUUAAAAAUCAGGAUUUUUAUCCUGUGUAUGAGAUUGUAUGACUUUUGUUUUUACUUUUAAAUACACAAAGUAUUUGUAUACAGCUUCUAACCUCAGGUCACCCUUGAAGGAGCCAGCAUUGGUGAGUUCUGGCAGUGCUGCUGUGAGGUAAAGUAGCAAUUGUGUUAAUGAAGAACCUGAGGAGAAGUAUAUCCGGUCUGCUAAAGACUUAUUUGCAGUAAAAGAAGCUGAAUUUUUUUCAUUUUAUUUCUCUCUCUUUUUAUUUUUUUUUUUCCUUUUUCCUGAUUUCAGUGAUGAGAUGUGGAAAGAAACAGGAAGCAGAACUGAAUUUUCUUUCAAAUAAGGUUAUUUGGCUUGAAAGGGGGGAAAAAUAAGUGAGGGGGUUAUGUGAUGUUUUGUGGUAGAAUUUUUACCAACUUUCUUUAUCAUUCUAGUUCUUAAAAAAUUGUGAGUCUCCAUGAUACGAAGCAGACGUUCUCAUGGAUUACCUUAUUUGAUGUUCUUGUAUGAUACAGCUUUUAUUCUCCCUUCAGGACAACUGGAAUCAAAUGCUGUGGUAAAUGAUCAUCAGAGCAACUUUUUCCGUAUCUCCAGGAUUCCAGUGUAUUCACUGCAAUAAUCUAGAUGAUGGUUAUAAAAUUAGCAGUUAUGAUACUGUUCCCAUAGAUGACUUUUGUCCUUCCUCCCACUCACCAAUGUGGUCUUGGUUGCUUUCAGUUUUGACUAGAGAAGUUAUGCUCCCGUGACAGAGUAGUAGCAGGCAUGCAGCACCCUAAUGCUGAUCCAAUAUCUUCGUCUCCAGUGAAGAGGAAUGGGAUGCCUGAAUACAAGGGAAAAGGCAAUGAGUCAGUUACCUCCUUUGAUUUCCCAUCCUCCCCUGGUAUCAUUUCUGCCUUUCCUGGGCAGCGCUGUUACUUUCUACAAGACAAGAAAAACAGCAGACAUUGUUCCAUGUGGGCAACAUUUGGCAGUGGAGUACGGGUCUUGUUAGAGUCUUGUUAGGUCUUGUUGCUUUGACUCAGAUACCACUUUCUUGCGUUAGACCCACCAUAGAUUGGAAGGAACCAAAAGGAUAUCUUUUGACUGUAAGCUGUGAAAGUGUUUGAACAAGC
ensembl:lncRNA